rnacentral:rRNA from 1 species
UCGCCUGUUUAUCAAAAACAUGUCUUCUUGAUAAUAAUCUGAAGUCUGACCUGCCCACUGAAUAUAAAGUUUAAAGGGCCGCGGUAUUUUGACCGUGCAAAGGUAGCAUAAUCAUUAGUCUUUUAAUUGGAGGCUAGAAUGAAUGGUUGGACGAGGCACUGACUGUCUCAGUGUAAAUGAGAGUAGAAUUUAACUUUUAAGUCAAAAGGCUUAAAUAAUUUUAAAGGACGAGAAGACCCUAUAGAGCUUUAUAUUAACUUAUGUAUUAUUUAUUUAGACGAUUUUUUAUAAUAUAUAAUUUAGUAUUUUGUUGGGGUGACAGGAAGAUAAAUAAAACUCUUUUUAGUUUAAAAAACAUUGAUUUAUGAAUUGUUGAUCCAUUUAUAGUGAUUAUAAGACUAAGUUACCUUAGGGAUAACAGCGUAAUCUUUUUCGAGAGUUCUUAUCGACAAAAAGGGUUGCGACCUCGAUGUUGGAUUAAGGGUAAUUUUGGGUGUAGAUGUUCAAAGUUUAGGUCUGUUCGACCUUUAAAUCCUUACAUGAUCUGAGUUCAAACCGGAGA